rfam:Schistosoma rodhaini strain Burundi genome assembly, scaffold: SROB_scaffold0000184
AUCCAGCUGAUGAGUUGCAAAUAGGACGAGACGCGCCUCCUGGAU